GUGCCUGAGAUGAAUGGAACUCUUGAAGUGUUGAGGUGAUCCUAAAUGAUCUGAGUCUACCGUGGAGCUUUAUUUACUCUGUUGCUAUUGUCUGAGACACUUAGGCAAAGUAAUGCGUUUCUCCUUUAGGGAAUAUGACUACUAACCUACUUAACCAAAUGUAGGGAUGGGGAGCAAACAUUCUUCCAGAAAGUUAUUUUUAUAAUAGUAAGAGGACCUAUUCUCAUGUAUGUAUUUUGGUUCUUUGCCCCAAAAUUCUAGUUAUGUUAGCAGUGGCUCUAUAUACUGAGAACUAGUUUGGUACUUAAUAUAUUCUAUAGAGUAGAAUUGUAACUUUGAAGGUUAUUUUCCCUUUAGUGAAUUGAGUCUUGAGAUCUCCAUGAUAUUUCAUUAAAACAGCAGCUAUUGAGUUAUGGGGCACCAUGGUAAGACCAGCACAACUUCUGGUAUGAGCCAUUUCCUAUAAUUUAAAAUGAAUCUCCCAGUUUUGGAGAUGUUGUUUGGGGUUCCAUGGUGAUGGAAAAGGUUAAUAAUGUAAUGUAGACCCUCUCAGGGGCAAAACAGAGUAGAAAGUGGAAAGUGGAACAGAUCUGUCAGAAUAAAUGGAAAAUAUUUCAGCACAUAAGAAAACUUUACUGUUUAGAAGGAGGAGGAAGAUUAAAGGAUGAUUAGAAAAAAAUAAUUGGCUAGGAGGAAAAGCAGGUAGCUUACUGGUAACACAAAUUUGGUUGAUUUUGUUCUUUUAAGAUUAUCAGGAAAAACAAGAUAGUAUGGGCUUCAAUUAAAAAACAAAUGUAAAUGGAGAGAAAAUAAUAAUAAGUCAACCCUUUUGAACUUCUUUGACAUUCUGAUGAUAGAUACUCACAUCUAAUAUAAGAAUAAUAUGGUAUAAGCCAUAAAAAUAGUUCUAUUAGAUAUUUGUGUUCAUAGAAAGUGUCCAAGAAAUUUCCCUCAGUGAAACAAUCUCUUAUUUGUUCAACUGAGUAACUAUCAGGUGCCAUAUAUUGGCCAAAGCACCAGGUACAUGGGAAUGAAAAGCUUUGGAUCCCAAGAAGCCAACAGUCUAAUAGCCAAAGAGACAUGAAAACAACAUAAAUAAUACAAGUGGUCAUUGCUAUGAAUAAAAAAAGGAGCAAAUUUGGCUUAAAGUUCUGGGAUGGAAAGGGAAAAGGAUGAAGGAGAGCUCAGGGGAAACUGCACAAAGUACCUGACUCUUGGGGAAAAUGGUAUUAUUCAAUAAACAAACAAAUAAGCCAACAGAAGAAGGAAGUUAUUACAAGCAGAGCUAAAAGCAGGUGCAAUCAUAGGGAGGUAUGGAAUAUUUAGGACAAUAGUUCAGUGAAACUGUAAUAGAUGAUGUGAGAGGGAAAGAGGUGGGGCAUGAGGCUUGUGAGGGUGUGACAGACAGGAGGCUGAUGUCAAUUAUUCUUGCUGUCCAUUCACUGUGUAAAUGAAUGGUAUCUGAUUUUUCUUACAACAUAUAUCUAUGGGAAUUAGAGAAGCCACAGCUAGAUAUUUCCUUCACUACUUGUACUAAUUUGCAAAAAAAAAUAUGAUCUUCCAAGUUAUUAAGCUUAUAUUCAGCAACUUGUUGUCGAAAAAAGUGUGUUUUCUGGGCCCCCUAAAAAUAUUAGAUGAAUAAUUAGGUUUGCUAAAAGUUCAAUCACAUAUUCUUAAAUAAUAUAAAUGUAUAUAUGGUAUAUUAAUAACUUAUUAAAGUUAUUUUAGUUUUCAAAUGGCUUUCAAAAUAUUUCAAAUAUAAGAAAAUACAAAAGUACUCAAUAUUAGGUUGGGUUAUUAUUUGUUAUUAUUUAGUAAUGUCUAACAUAACACAUAUAUUAACUUAGAGGUUAGAGGCAGAGGAAAUUGGAAU
rnacentral:lncRNA from 1 species